AGAGUUUGAUCAUGGCUCAGAUUGAACGCUGGCGGCAUGCUUAAUACAUGCAAGUCGAACGGUAACAGAUUCUUCGGAAUGCUGACGAGUGGCGGACGGGUGAGUAAUACAUAGGAAUCUGCCCAUGUAGUGGGGGACAACUUGGGGAAACUCAAGCUAAUACCGCAUAAUCCCUACGGGAUAAAGAGGGCCACUGCUUGCAAGCUCUUGCUACUGGAUGAGCCUAUGUCGGAUUAGUUAGUUGGUAAGGUAAUGGCUUACCAAGACAGCGAUCCGUAGCUGGUUUGAGAGGAUGAUCAGCCACACUGGGACUGAGACACGGCCCAGACUCCUACGGGAGGCAGCAGUAGGGAGUAUUGGACAAUGGGCGCAAGCCUGAUCCAGCAAUGCCGCGUGUGUGAAGAAGGCCUGCGGGUUGUAAAGCACUUUCAAUUGGGAAGAAAGAUUAUGAGUUAAUACCUUAUAAUAUUGACG
rnacentral:rRNA from 1 species